rnacentral:tRNA from 1 species
UGGCCAUGGUCAGGUGUUGGCGGGCUUGGCGUUGGCGGCGCUGGCCGAGGGCAGGCCGGUGCUGCGGCCGCCGUUGUUGGC